UAGGAUCAUUAUAUUCAAUGGGUUUAGAAACCAACCUGCAUAAUGAUUUGAUACUUUGAUUUUAGAUAAGUGAUUUGUGACCAAAUAUUAUGCAGAUGGGGAAUUAUAUUUAUCUACUUAUGUUUUUUUUUUGUGAUUACCAUUUUUCAGAAGGGCAAAAAGUAAAAAUAAAACAUCAUACAUAUGGAUGAAUAGAAUUCCAUUUUAUUAAUGAUCAAAUUUUGAAAAUGCCAAACAAUGUUCACUUUCCCUUAGGCAUAGGAGAAGGAUUU
rnacentral:lncRNA from 1 species